rnacentral:rRNA from 1 species
GAUCAUGGCUCAGGACGAACGCUGGCGGCGUGCUUAACGCAUGCAAGUCGAGCGGAAAGGCUCCUUCGGGGGUACUCGAGCGGCGAACGGGUGAGUAACACGUGAGUAAUCUGCCCUUGGCUUUGGGAUAAGCCCCGGAAACGGGGUCUAAUACCGGAUACGACGCACUCUCGCAUGGGAUGUGUGUGGAAAGUUUUUUCGGCCAGGGAUGUGCUCGCGGCCUAUCAGCUUGUUGGUGGGGUAAUGGCCUACCAAGGCUUCGACGGUAGCCGGCCUGAGAGGGUGACCGGCCACACUGGGACUGAGACACGGCCCAGACUCCUACGGGAGGCAGCAGUGGGGAAUAUUGGACAAUGGGCGGAAGCCUGAUCCAGCAACGCCGCGUGAGGGAUGACGGCCUUCGGGUUGUAAACCUCUUUCAGUACCGACGAAGCGCCGAUGAUGGUGGUGACGGUAAGUACAGAAGAAGCACCGGCCAACUACGUG